rnacentral:lncRNA from 1 species
UGGGGAAAUUCAAAUUGUUAUAUCUACUUCUGUUCCCUAGAAAGAAGCCAGGAGAGUGCAUAGCAUAGCUCCUUAUUCUGCCAUAUGUGGGAAUGGGGAAAAGUGAAAUUAAACCAACACAAUAUAUUUGGAAGCACAAAUAAACAAGGCAAAGCAGCUUACUGGGUAAAUCAAAUUACUGAUAAACGUCCUACCUGUGAAGUAACUAUUUAGGGGAAAAGAAUUUAAAGGUUUGGUAGAUACAGGAGCGGACAUUUCAAUCAUUUGAUAUUGUAAAGAAUAAAAUUAUCUGAAUGUAUGUAUUAAAUAUA